CAAAGAGGGGGACCUUCGGGCCUCUUGCCAUCGGAUGUGCCCAGAUGGGAUUAGCUCGUUGGUGGGGUAACGGCUCACCAAGGCGACGAUCCCUAGCUGGUCUGAGAGGAUGACCAGCCACACUGGAACUGAGACACGGUCCAGACUCCUACGGGAGGCAGCAGUGGGGAAUAUUGCACAAUGGGCGCAAGCCUGAUGCAGCCAUGCCGCGUGUAUGAAGAAGGCCUUCGGGUUGUAAAGUACUUUCAGCGGGGAGGAAGGGAGUAAAGUUAAUACCUUUGCUCAUUGACGUUACCCGCAGAAGAAGCACCGGCUAACUCCGCGCCAGCAGCCGCGGUAAUACGGAGGGUGCAAGCGUUAAUCGGAAUUACUGGGCGUAAAGCGCACGCAGGCGGUUUGUUAAGUCAGAUGUGAAAUCCCCGGGCUCAACCUGGGAACUGCAUCUGAUACUGGCAAGCCUGAGUCUCGUAGAGGGGGGUAGAAUUCCAGGUGUAGCGGUGAAAUGCGUAGAG
rnacentral:rRNA from 1 species